GGAGGAGUUGGUGGAACGUAAGUUCAUUGAAAUUAAAAAUUGAAAUAUAUAUCACAAGUGAAUGUGAAGAAUACUAUACAAAAGGGUUUCAAAUUUGCUAAAUACAGUUUCUUAGAGUAAGAUAACAAGAAUGUUGAUAGAAAUAUUUUGCAUGCUGUGGAAGUUGAUGAAUUUUGAGCAAAUAAAACAUGCUACUGUUAUGUUGUAUAAUGUUAUAUGAUGCUAAGAGACGUGCUAUGAUUCUGUGAGCAUGCUACAGAUAUUUUGUGUUAAUGUUAUAUGA
rnacentral:misc_RNA from 1 species